AUGGGUUUUUUUUUGCACUAAUAAAGUUGUGGAGUUGGUAAAGUAUUUUGUCUAGUGUCAAUUAUAUCGUCAGUUAUGUCGUUAUCGCAAAUUUUCAAAUAUAUAUCGUGAUAAAUUUUUUGGGGUCAUAUUGCCCUGCUCUAACAGCGGCUACAAAAGAAGACAGUUGAGGUGGUCGCCUCCUGAAUAAAGUGUUGCAACACCAGCUGGGCGUGUCAUACCGAGGAGGAGGACCCGUGCUAGACUCAGCCUCAGACUAAGAACACGCUGGAGAGAUGACAUCUACCGGCUGGCCUGGGAAUGCUACAGUGUUCCCCCAGAUAAGCUGGAAGAGGGUUGCAGGGAGGCUGGAGCCUAUUCCAGCUACCGUAGGGCGAGAGGUUGGGUAUACCCUGGACGGACCGCCAGCCUGAUGCAGGGCUAACACAGAGACAGACACAUUCGCACUCGCAUUCACACCUAUGGCUAAUUUAGAUUCACCAAUUAAAGGUUUUAUACUCUUACUAAGCAUGUGGACUCUUACAUGCCCACCAUGUCAUUUUUUUCUAUAAGGGACUGCUCAUACAGUCAUUUACAGAUUAAAAAAAAUACUGUUACAGAAUUCAUUUUGUCUAUAUGAAAGAUAGAAAACUGCCCAAAUAUUUA